rnacentral:rRNA from 1 species
AGCGAACGCUGGCGGCAGGCUUAACACAUGCAAGUCGAGCGGGCCCUUCGGGGUCAGCGGCAGACGGGUGAGUAACACGUGGGAACGUACCCUUUGGUUCGGAAUAACGCUGGGAAACUAGCGCUAAUACCGGAUACGCCCUUUUGGGGAAAGGCUUGCUGCCGAAGGAUCGGCCCGUGUCUGAUUAGCUAGUUGGUGGGGUAAUGGCCUACCAAGGCGACGAUCAGUAGCUGGUCUGAGAGGAUGAUCAGCCACACUGGGACUGAGACACGGCCCAGACUCCUACGGGAGGCAGCAGUGGGGAAUAUUGGACAAUGGGCGCAAGCCUGAUCCAGCCAUGCCGCGUGAGUGAUGAAGGCCUUAGGGUUGUAAAGCUCUUUUGUCCGGGACGAUAAUGACGGUACCGGAAGAAUAAGCCCCGGCUAACUUCGUG